UGGGAUUGUUAGGUCACUAUAGCGCUACCA
rnacentral:piRNA from 1 species